GCUGAGGGAGGAGGAAAGCCAGAGAGUGGCUCUUGAAGUAGUAUCCAGGUGCAGAGUUCUCCUCCUGUUCAGUUUGCAAUUGACCACAAGUGACGGGCACAGGAGCUCCAUGCGCUGGUGUCCUGAUUCCAUUUUAAACAAGAUCUCCAGGGCAGCUGAGUGGCUUAGUCCAGUGAGCGUCUGCCUUCAGCUCAGUGGCUGUCUUUGGAGGCAAUCUCCCAUAGUUGGAAAGAAAACGAGCCUUUUCUUCCAGAAACAGAUCAUCCAAGGAAGUAAGCCAGAAAAAUGCUGAAAAUCUAGACGCUGCUUCAGACACCCACACGUUAGGCUACAUGUUGGCUAGUUUCCGGGCUUUGAAGACUAUGAUCAAGAAAGGCCCCAGCCCUGUCCACGGUGGCUGAAACAGAAGUUGAGAGGCACAAUUCACUUUGCCUGGAAACCAACAGAAUGUGAA